UUUGACUUACUACAGCAUUGACGUUUACAGGCUGCACAUUUACGUGGCUCAUGCACUGCAAUGAAUGUUUUAAGCUCUGUACAGAAAAGAAAUAAUAUGAUGAACGAUGUACAAUGUCCACCUCCGUUACUGAGCUCCUCAACCAUUUGAACUGACCAAGGAGCUGCCGUUCUGAGAAAGAGUCGCUAGGAUGUCAUGUCCCAGGUAGAUGAUAUGAGUGACACAAUCAGCACGACCAUAUUUAAGAAUGGAAGACUGACAGCCUCACCAUUGCUGAUGUCACCUCCGUUUUCUGCCCUCCUGGACCCGCCCUUUCCUGACGAUUCACCACAUAACUUACCAGGACCGGCCAUCUUACUCCAGUUCUCUUCUGAACUCUCUUGUUGCAGCUUUAUUGUUUUCAACAUUUUCAGUUAUACAGGGCCACCAAGGUGGUGCUCCAAUCCUUUAUAUAUAUUUGUGUCUCCUCUUUUACACCAUCAAACCACCCAUUCUUUUUCGAACACAAGUUUCACAAAUUAUAAAUAGUGAGCUAUAUUUUAAUGAUUUUUGCAUCAUGCCAUACAAGGUCAUAUAGUCUGCCCACAGACCUUGCCCAUUUUUGCUCCUACUUUAACAGUGACUCUCUACCCUGCCCAACUCACGCAUGCGUGCCUGAGGAUCACUGUCCAGAAAACACCCUCAGGACUACAGGGGGCGCUAUUGCUAACAGUCUUGACUCCUUUUUCCCCUCAGAGCCUUGAGAAACCACCCCUUAGGGCAACAAAGCCAAGGAAGCCCCGCCAUUUCCACUGUGCUCAGUAUUAAAGGGAGACGUCUCAUUUCAGACCUGACUGCCGUGGAGAACACAAGAUGGAGAGACAAAGUGUGUCCCUUAAAGAGUACUGAUUCUAGGGAGUUGUCCUAAGCAGACGGUGUUAAAGAGCACUCGUUUUAUUUACAGUUUAUUUCAUUUACAGUUUUCUUUUUUUUUUUUUGGAAUCAAACAGGGUUUUCUCCAGUUGGCACCCCAAGCAUUUGGCUUUUGUCCUGCCUUAUCAUUUGCUGCACUACAUCAUAUAUAGCCAGCUAGUUGCAAACAGACUCAGCAACAAGAUUCCUGGUAUAUAUUUAUGCGACUAUAAUACCAAAAGCAUUUCUUUACAAAGUUGCACAUAAGAUGCAAAUUUUUUUCAAUAGGGCAUUUAAUAUUCAGCUGCAUUUUGAAUUUCCAUAGAUAAAUGAUAUAUUCCUUUUUUAUUUUAGCCAACUUAAAACACUGUGCAAGGACACAUUUUCAGAGCUUGCAUUUUGUGUCCGCUUGCUCAAAUGCCACCAUCCAUUUCUUCCACAAUAUGCUUUUAAUCCACCAAUACACACCUACUGCAACAAUUACUACUUGUAGAAGAUGGCAGGCAGCCUUAGACAGCUUUCUCUGUGUUAACUCUGUAAACUGAAGGUUAGCCUGUGAUUGUGAUUGUAUUGUGCAGAAUUGGGCGAUUUUCCUCCACAGGACUUCGUGCACUCAACACAAAAGUGGAAAAAUACUCUUUGUGAAUGCCAAAGGGAAUAUAUUAAAAAAAUUAUAAUGAAAUGAAGAGGUUUAUUACAGCUAAAAAAGUAAGUAAAAGUUAAAGUGUAUGGCUUUGGAGAUAAAAAAAAGUACACAAAAUAAGGGAAUAAACCAGAAAC